AAUAAAAGUAUCCAUUUAGAAUGCACUUGUUAAGAUCCAUGCAUUUAGUUUGGGGUCUCCGUACACACCUGCAGCGGGUUCGGCUGGUGGGGCUUCAGCAGGGGGUGCUUCAGCAGGAGGUGCCUCCACCGGGGCUCCUUCAGCGGGUGCUGCCUCCGCUGGAGCAGCUUCGGCGGGGGCUGGUUCAGCGGGCGCGGGCUCAGGUGCGGGAGCAGGC